UGGGCGGUAUAAUGUUGCUCAGCUCUCGGAGGAGCGCUGUACAUCAGCAGCAGAAGAAAUUACCGGGAAAUUGUGCUCUUGCGCUUAAAACCAAAGCUGUAAGCAGAUAACGUUAUUUAACCAGAUAACGUUAUUUAACCAUCACUGACAGAUCGAUCACCAUGUCCCAGAGGAAGAAAGCGGUUUCAGCUUCACAGAGCAAAACUCAGAGACGCUCUCAGGUAUCUCUGGAUGAAGAUGACGAGGAUGCUAAUUUUAGCCAAAUGACAUCAUCACAGGUGCAACGAGCCCGAGAGAACUUCACGAGUGAACAGGUCGACCGCAAGGUGGCAGAAGUGGUCCAGUUCAUCUUAAUUAAAGACCAAAGAAAAAUACCCAUUCGAAGAGCAGACAUUGCCAAACAUGUGGUAAAGGAAUACAAAGCCAUCUAUACAGAAAUCAUGAACAAAGUUUGCCUCAAAUUUGAUCAGGUUUUUGGAUUAGAACUGGUGGAGAUUGACCAAAAAAAUCACAUUUACAUCCUGAUUAAUAAGCUGGAGCCCAUUCAUGGAGAGCCAUUGAGCAUGCGUUCUGAAAACCCAAAGAUAGGCCUGCUGUUGGUCAUCCUGAGUGUGGUUUUCAUGAAGGGUGGUGUUAUUAAAGAGAAUCUCGUAUGGAAUACGCUAAAGAAGCUGCGAGUGGACCCAGGGGAAAAGCAUGAUCAGUUUGGUGACAUAAAAAAGGUGGUCACAGAUGAAUUUGUACGGCAGAAAUAUUUAGAGUAUGUGAAGAUCCCUCACACAGACCCAGUGGAGUUUGAGUUUCGCUGGGGUCUGCGGGCAGAGAAGGAGGUGUCCAAACUCAAGCUGCUAGAGUUUGUUGGAGAGCUUUUUGAUCAGGAUCCUCAGAGCUGGACACAGCAGUUCAGAGAGGCCAGUGCUGCUGAAAUCGGCAGCCAGAGAUCAUGAACACCUUGUGUUGUGCAUUUAUUAGUUUAAAUAAGAAGGUCUUCUUUAAUAUGGUAGAAGGUGAAGAAAAGCUGAGAGAGAUCUAUUGAGAUCUGAGGAUCUUUGUUCUGCCUUUCUGAGAUGUUAGCCGAAUUUCAUUUGAUUGCGUGAAAAGGCCAUUGAAGAUUAUUUGUUAAAAAUAGGUGUGUGUCUGGUUCAAAUGCUACACUGAGCUGAUCUAGACAACAGCUUCUGCAUUCAAUAAUGAAAUGCCUUUAGCUAAAAACAUUACACUACUGACACUAUUCUCCAAUUUAAUUCUGUUCAGUGCUUUGAAACAUUGUUAAAUUGUAUUUUUUAAAGCGGUACAAAAAUGAAGGUGAUUAAAUGAUUGACUGAU